rnacentral:piRNA from 1 species
CCAUGGACCUCUGCUUAUCGAAUUAGU